UCGUUACAUUCACCCCAAACGAAUCCAACCCUGGAAAUGACAUCCGGAUUGUAGUUCCAAAACUAGAACCGAACACCUGUAUCGUUCCGGACUCAUUUCGCCUGUCGUACGAGUUCAAGAACGAAAACAACAAAUCCUGUUUCAUGAACAACCUCAGUAAACUUCUAUGCGAGCGGCUCAUGAUAAGAGUGGGAGGUGAAAUAGUAUACGACAAUAACGGUGAAAGUCUCACCGAAGUCUACAAAGACCUCUGGAAGAUGAAUUCAAAAAGAGCGAACAUGGUAGAAUACGGAAUCAUGAACGAAAACACAAGAAAGUUACUGUCGAAGGACGACAGCGCCGAUCGGACCGCAAAAACGGAAGGUGCCUACGACCUGGUGAUGGCGAAGGUAUACAAGGAGCAGAAGAUGAAACUCGGAAAAAUUCUUAAUGAUCACGGUCCCUACGC